rnacentral:rRNA from 1 species
AUUGAACGCUGGCGGCAGGCCUAACACAUGCAAGUCGAGCGGAUGAAGGGAGCUUGCUCCUGGAUUCAGCGGCGGACGGGUGAGUAAUGCCUAGGAAUCUGCCUGGUAGUGGGGGAUAACGUCCGGAAACGGGCGCUAAUACCGCAUACGUCCUGAGGGAGAAAGUGGGGGAUCUUCGGACCUCACGCUAUCAGAUGAGCCUAGGUCGGAUUAGCUAGUUGGUGGGGUAAAGGCCUACCAAGGCGACGAUCCGUAACUGGUCUGAGAGGAUGAUCAGUCACACUGGAACUGAGACACGGUCCAGACUCCUACGGGAGGCAGCAGUGGGGAAUAUUGGGCAAUGGGCGAAAGCCUGAUCCAGCCAUGCCGCGUGUGUGAAGAAGGUCUUCGGAUUGUAAAGCACUUUUAGUUGGGAGGAAGGGCAGUAAGUUAAUAUCUGGCUGUUUUGACGUUACCAACAGAAUAAGCACCGGCUAACUUCGUG